rnacentral:lncRNA from 1 species
GCGACGUGAUGCCUCAGACCGGUAUGAACUAUGAGGGCAGGAGGAGAGGAACACGUCGCAGCACCUGUAAAGCCAACGGUCUGGCCCCAGGCGCAGAUUUGGUUAAUGGAGCCGUUGUCCACAAUGGCUACCCAGCAGCUGCCACUAGAACCAAUGAGACCACACCAGCUGGUACACUGAAUGGAACCAAACCACAAUGCAUGGUUAAUGGAUAUAUUAACCACAAGUACAAGAGUAGAAAUGCGUCGCCACCAAGGACACUCAGGAAGCAUGGUAGCACUAUUCCAGCUGUCAGUGAUGCCUCAACAGCUGGCAGGGUCAACAGUGCAGACAAUUCUGGUGGUAUCUCAGUAAAUGGGGCCGCCAGUCUAGACACUGUUGCCUCACACUGUUAUUCUGAUCAAAUGGCUCCAGAGCCCAGCCUGUCAGCGGGGGCAAAGAAUCGGAGAAGAUGGAAGAAAUGUGGACGAAAGAAGAGACCCCCAACGCUGCCACCACAGGAGCAGGAGGACUGGGAAAGUGAGAUCCAAGAGGUGACGGUUCCCGACUGGGAAAAGAUGUGUUUUGGGGUCAGACCCUAUGGUCCAGAGGAUGUGCUCCACUUCGCUUUGCGGGAUUUGAGACUUAGGCAAACGCAAACCGCUGACCUGCCGUUGACAGCCAAUUACAGACCAGCAUUACACCACCCACGCCCUGUCAAAUGGUCCUGCUACAGCAUCCCCACUGAGCCGGACCAGUUUGCAGAUGCUGACGAGGCUUUUUGUUCCAACGUGACUCACCACGCUGUAGCCACGGUUGGUGCCUGGAGGCAGAGAUUGAGGGAGGGUGAACAGCGCAGAAGAAAAAGAGUUGAUGUGGUUAAGUCAUUAGGAGACUGCAUGUUGGGUUGCUGUGUCAAGCUUCGGCCUACUUCUCUGAUGAAUCAAUAAGCCGAACGCCUGCCUGCGAAAGGGACACACACAGAGGAAGAAGAGUUCUAUCUUAUGGUUUGCCUGGCCCUCAGAUCAUUUUAAGUUUGGGCCAACUCCUCCGCAGAUUGUGCGUGCUGGCACGGCACAAAAAAAGUACCUCAGAUACGUAACAUCAGUCAAACCAGAUGGUGCAUGUGAUUACUCACUACUGCCUAUAAAUUUGUCAGCAAAAUGUUAUUGAGUUGACAUUCAUAAUCCCUUUUGUCAUGGUUCUGAUUACCCUGUCAAAACACAAACAAAUGGAACCAGAAUGAUGGUAUUGGUUCUGUCUCUAGGAAACCAACGUUUGCAGUUAUUUGUUUACAAGUGUCGAUGCUUUAACAAACAAAGUCGUAAGUGCUUUUACCUCACGUUUUCCCCGACUUUUUAGAGAUGUGUUACAAUUGCUGCAAAGUUUUUGCACACCUGGAAGACUUAGUGACAGGUGUGUCUGAUGAAGAGAUCAAUUUGUGGUGAGGAAAAACAAAAAAUCCUCAAUUACUUGCACAUACUUGUAUUUUACCCAGAGAGCUAAAGUGAACCUGGAACAUCCAGGUUCCAUUCCUGAAAUAAGAAAAUCUCAGAAUAAAAUCUCUAACACUAACAACUAUAACCUUAGAACAGAACCAACAGUAUGUUGUGUGGCUCAUAUAUGGGUCAUUAAAAGAAGAUCUUAUAUUGUGAAUUCAAUAUUUCUGGCCUUUUAGGAACCCCUUUCCUCUUGAGCCCUUAGACCAAAGUGGGUUAAAACCAUCUCACUGCUUGACAAAAGUGCAGCAGCAAGUUCAGGUGCAGACAGCAAAAAUUACACCGCCAUGAAUAUCAGGUGUUAGUGAAUAUCAUGUAUACGCAUGAAACCGAGUCAUGGGAAAGGUAGAUGACUGCUCUGUUGCACUGGUACAUUUGUUUUGGUAAUAGAAAACAUAAAUCACAAAGGUUAAAAUGUUUAAUGGCAAAUGUCUACUUGCACAUUGUAGGGUCAGGUCAUUUGUUUUCAGAACUGCACGCCUGUUCACCAGAGCCCGACCGGUAUUAGUCUAUCACAGGUCUAUUGGUAGCAGCAUAUACUUUGGCAAUUAUCCGCAAAUAUAAAUAAAUUUUGAGAAUAUAAUGCAGACAAAGAUGCUUUGGUCAAUUUCUAAUUGUUUAAUUCCCAGCGAAGUUUGUUGUUUCAGUGUACUGAUUUUGGGACAAUAAAGCUUAUUGUUAAACUAUAAAAAAAAAUAUCCUGUAUUUGUAUGUGUUCCUUACCCAUAUAAUUUGAGCGAUCGUUGCAAAAAAAAUUAUUUAGGUAUAUAUUUUACUUAUAAAAGAAUGAAGGUCGAUAUAAAUUGAUGUUAGGUGUCAUGUCGACAUCGGCCCCAAAAAUCAAUUAUCAGUCAGGCUCUGCUGUUUAUUUCCUGACAGCAGCCAAAUGUUACCUUCGCCUCCAACCUCAGUGAUCACAGUGCUUUUCAUAAGUGAGUUACUUUAACUGUAACAGUAACAAAUUGCAUUAAUUUAUUAUUGUAUUUAAUUAAUUAAUUUAAUGUAUGUUAUUUUAAAUAGGUUGAUUAUUUUUGAUAAUUGUAACAAUUGUAGUUUUGAACAGGUGGACCCAAAAGUGACGCCAAACAGGUAGUGACUUGAAAGGUGAAUUUACUGAUCAAACAAAGGAGUUUGCUGGUAGGAAGAGACAGUGGCUCCCACUGUGGUACAGGUCGAGACUCGUGGUCAAGCAGGAGGCUGGCUCAGGCAGUCGGGGGUUGUGAGAGGGGGGCAGAGGUGCAGGAGGCUGGGUGGCGAGUGGUUGAGGAGCUGGUCCACAGGAAAGCUCUGGUCACACUGAAAGAGGAAGAAGGCAGGAUUAAAGUUCUGGCAAGUCAACAAAAGAAGGCUUCCCAAAUAAAUAAACUCUGGAGACACAGAGCGAUUAGGUACAACUGGAGCUGGCCACAAUUAUCUGGCACUGUGCAGAGGGGAGGUCUGGGUAUAAGAGCAGGUGCUAAAUAUACUCUGUGUGCUGCAGGUGUGUGGACCGGCACAGCUCCGACCAGCAGCCAAACCCUGCCAGGCCUCACCAAGCACCUCUGAAACAUAAAGCA